rnacentral:tRNA from 1 species
AAAGAAAUAUUAUUUAGAAAGCUUCUAACUUUUAAAAGAGCAAUAAUUUGUUC